CUUCAGUAUCAGACAUCUCUGCAAAGGGAUUUCAAAUAUGCUUAUGAAAAUAUUUUUACAUAUUGGCCAGGCAUGAUGGCUCACACCUGUAAUCCCAGCACUUUGGGAGGCUGAGGUGGGAGGAUCACUUGAGCCCAGGAAUUUGAGACCAGUCUGGGCAAUAUGAUGAGAUCCGUCACUACAAAAAUUGUUAAAAAUCUAUCUACUGGCCGGUCAUGGUACCUCACACCUGUAAUCCCAGCGCUUUGGGAGGCCAAGGAGGGUAGAUCGCGAGGUCAGGAGUUCGAGGCCCAGCCUAGUCAACAUGGUAAAACCCCAUCUCUACUAAAAAUACAAAAAUUGGCAAGGUGUGGUGGUGCAUGCCUGUAGUCCCAGCUACUCAGGAGGCUGAAACAGGUGAGUCGCUUGAAUCUAGGAGGUGGAAGUUGUAGUGAGCUGAGAUUGUACCACUGCACUCCAGCCUGGGUGACAGGGUGAGACUCUGUCUAAAAAAAAAAAAAUUAUCUAUCUAUCUAUCUAUCUAUCUAUCUAUCUAUCUAUCUAUCUAUCUAUCUAGAGACUUUAGCCUAGUUUCUUGUACUUGAUGUGUUUAUUGAGCUUUUUCCUUUGGAAAGUUCAGUAAGUUUCCUUAGGGUCUAGUCCGUGAGAGUCAAGCACUUGCAUGGCUUUUGUCAGACAUGGGCUGGAAGAAUGAAUUGGCUAAGGUAAGUGGCUGUUAAAUAUUAGAGCUUUGAGGUCACAAGGAGCAACCUGGCAAAAGGCAUCAGAGUGAUUCAGAGGCCAAAGGCCAGGCUGAGGGCCCACGCUCUCAGCUACCCGAUUUGGCUUGGGAAUGUCCUGUAUGGACAGAGAGGAUAGCUAGAUAUCAGACUAUCUCUACAGCCCAGGGGAAAGGGCAAUCGGCCUACUUUUGUACCAGAAAGGGCCAGUUUGGACCGGACGGCCAAGGAGAGUGAAUUCAUUCAGAUCAGCAACUCCCUGAGGGGUGUAGGGGAAGAAGGAGAAGCUGACAGCAUCUCUCUGGAGAAGGAAAAAGAAGUUAUCGAUUUCUUCUGGGGAGAGAGGGAGGAAAUGAGGCACUUCUGGGUGUGAGGUGGGGAGAAGAGAAGGUGACUCUGAAUGGUACACACAGCGUCACAGAGACCAGUCUGCCGCAGGGGCUGUCCUGGAUGCUCUGUGGAGAAGUCUGAAGUGUGCUGAAGGGGUGGCGAGGGGCAGAGAGGCUUCCCUCCAUGGACAUCUGGGAAGGAGAGCUGCUGCUCUCUGCUUCAAAAAGGAGCUAAUAGACAGUGCUGCCCAUCAGGAUGGGCUGUGACAGCCAGAUGGCUUCUGACCGUCACACAGAGGUCUCCAAAAUGGGGAGCUCCUUUUAAUUCAUUUGAGGGUUAUCUAGGAAAAGUAGAGGAUGCCAUAAAAGCAAACGGAUGGGAAUGUCAGAGCCAUGGGGACACUCACCCACUUCUGGGGACCUCUCUACAGCUGAGCACUUCAGCUCGGUCACUGGGCUUGAGGAUCAGCACUGGCCUCCUGACCCUUGACUCACAGGGACAACCCAGCCCCAGCCUGAUGAGGAGGGGACUGCAGCCGCUCAGCUGAGCUCCUACAGGGCAGGCAGGAAGGAGCCGGAGGUCCCGGAGCCCAAGCUCCUGACAUCUGACAGGAGACUACAAUAGAGGAGGCAAAAUGACAGCCUCACAGGAAAGUAAUUUCCUAUCAGGAAAAAAAAAGAGGGGGGAGAAAGAAAGAAAAAGAGGCAAAUCCCAUGAUUGUCUUUUUUUGUGAGACGGAGUUUCGCUCUUGUUGGCCAGGCUAGAGUGUAAUGGUGCAAUCUCAGCUCACUGCAACCUCCUGGGUUCAGGCGAUUCUCCUGUCUCAGCCACCUGAGUAGCUGGUAUUAUAAGCAUGUGCCACCAACCUGGCUAAGUUUUGUAAUUUUGGUAGAGAUGGGGUUUCUCCAUGUUGGUCAAGGCUGAUCCCGAACUCCCGACCUCAGGUGAUCCACCAGCCUCAGCCUCCCAAAGUACUGGGAUUACAAGUGUGAGCCACCAUGCCCAGCCCCCCAUGAUUGCCUUAAUACCCAAAAGAGUGGUGAGGCUGAGGACGAAGCAUGCUGAGAGAGAAAGUUAGGAUCAUAUGAAUAAUUUAAAUCUAUUAUUCUUAAGUUUGGCCAGUUAUUUAACACAUUUUUUUUGGGUUUAUUACUCUGUGUCUGUAACUUUGAUAAAAACAUAAAAAUUCCUCCAUUUUCAUCUUAUUUAUUACCAACAAUCCCCCCAGCCCAUCUGGCCGGAGGUUCUAGUUAUGGGCCAAUCCAGUCAGGGCCCUGAGCGCAAUGGGGUGUGGGCAUGGGCUUCCCCGCUCCUGAGGCUUGUUUUGAUGCCCCCGUGACUUGACGAAACCUCUGUCUCCUGGCUAGUGUCAGAAUCCCAGAUCACAGAGUGAACAGUAUAUUGGGAUUUGAUCAAGGUUUGCUGAAUGAAUGCAUGAAAUAGUUUCUAAGGUGAUAUUGAAAGAUGAGGAUUCUGGCAUUACCCCCACAACACACACACAUUUUAACUAUAGCGACUUUAGUGGUAGGUCAGUAGGUAAGAUGGCUGGAGGGGGUUUGGGCCCCUGAACGGUUGCUGGCUUCUGCAGGAGACACGGUUCUGGGGAGGAGCACCCUGUGGUGCAGCCUGCGUCUCAGUUCUGCACUUGUCAUCUCUGGGGCAGCUGGGAGCCUCAAUGCUGUCGGGCGGCUGCUCCUAAUCUUAUCAUCUGAGUGACAGUAGAUGAGUGUUGUUACCAACGGUGACAACAACAAGUACAACAAAUAGUGAAAAUUUAUUGAACUUUUGCUACUGGUGUGUUUCAGGCACUUUUCCAAAAACUUUGCACUUGUUAACCACUUGAAUCCUCCAAUAUCCCUGUAAAAUAAGGAAUAGUAUUAUUAUUGCCCCCAUUUUUACCGAUGGAAAAACUGAGACACACAGAGAUGAAGUAACUUGAGCAAGGACUCACUGCUAGAAAGUGACAGGACUGGAAUUCUAAUAACCCUGAGAGGCAGCCCAACAGCUUGUGAAGAAAGUGGCAGACCUGGGAGUCAACCCAACGGGCUUUGAAGCCUUUUUCCAGACAAUCAGAACAAAGUCUAGAAAUAGUUUUUAGAGUUUUCAUUCAUUUAUCUGCUAAUGUAUUUGAUUAACAUAAAUGCUUGAUGUCCCAGACCCCAUGUUUUAUUGUUUAAAUAAUCAAAUAAAAUGAUCUAUUUCACAGCAUGGUGACUAUAGUCAAUAAUAAUCUAUUGUAUACUUGCAAAAGAAAAAAAAGGCUUUAUUUUUAUUUUUAAAUUGAGGCAAGUAUUAUUCUGUCACCCAGGCUGGAGUGCAGUGGUGCCAUCUCAGCUCACCGCAUCCUCCCCUUCUGGGGUUCAAGCGAUUCUCCUGCCUCAGCCUCCCUAGUAGCUGGGAUGACAGGCACGUGCCACCAUACCCAGAUAAUUUUUGUAUUUUUGGUAGAGAUGGAGUUUCGCCAUGUUGGCCAGGCUGGUCUCAAAUUCCUGACCUCAAGUGAUCUGCCCACCUUGGCCUCUUAAAGUGCUGGGGUUACAGACAUGAGCCACCUUGCCCCACCUUCAAGAGAGUAGAUUUUAAAUGUUCUUACUACCAAAAAAUGAUAAAUAUGUGAGGUGAUAGACACAUUAAAAAGCUUCAUCAUUUCGCAAUGUAUACAUGUAUGAAGACAUCAAAUUGCAUACUGUAAGUACAUAUAAUUUUUAUUUUUAUCAAAAAACCAAUAAAAUGGGAUUUAUUACUCUAGCUUUACCCCUUGGAUGGUAAGAAACAAAAUGGUUGAAAUAGAUUCUUUGAAUUCUAAAACUAAGGGAACUUAGAGAGACGUUGAGGAUACAGUGGUCUACUUAGUCACGUAUUUGUUUUGGUGACUGAAGGAAGCCCUCCACCAUUAACAGAAAACAAAAUUGGGGCCAGGCACAGUGGCUCACGCCUGUAAUCCCAGCACUUUGAAAGGCCAAGACGGGCGGAUCAUGAGGUCAGAAGUUUGAGACCAGCUUGACCAACAUGGUGAAACCCCAUCUUUACUAAAAAUACAAAACAUAGCUGGGCAUGGUGGUGCUUGCCUGUAGGUAGGCUGAGGCAGAAGAAUCGCUUGAACCUGGGAGGUGGAGAUUGCAGUGAGCGGAGGAUCGCACCACUGCACUUCAGCAAGAAAGAAAAGAAGAAGAAAAAAAGAAAGAAAAAAAAGAAAGAAAGAAAGAAAGAAAAAUGAAGAAAGAAAGGAAGGGGGAAGGAAAGAAGGAAGAGAGAGAGAGAGAAAGAAAGAGAAAAGGAAAGGAAGGAAGGAAAAGAAACAAAAAGAAAUUGGGUUUCUAGACUAAGGCUGAGUCCAUUUAGGGUCUGCUAUGAUAAUUAUUGGCCAGUAGAUGGCAGUCCAGGAUUACUGUUGAGCCCUAGUGCUACUGGGCAAAGUACUUUCUCCAGCCAAUCAGUUCCUAUAGAUUGAAGAUAAGGCAAAGGUUUUCCAGACAAGAGAACUGACAAUUAGUAAAGGGAAGAAAGUUGAAACACACAUGCACUAACCUGAACAAAUUCAGUACGGAUUUGUGUUAUAAACUUAAAGAGCAAUACAACUUUCCUAAGAGUUAAUUAAUUGCAUUUCUGCUGGCUAUAGCGACUCACACCUGUAAUCCCAGCCCUUUGGGAGUCUGAGGUGGGAGAUCACUUGAGCCCAGAAGGUUGAGGCUGCAGUGAGCCAUGAUCGCACCACUGCACACCAGCCUGGAUGACAGAGCAAGAACCCUGUCUCAAAAAAAAAAAUGCAUUUCUAUGCAUUUCAGAAUUAUAGUAAUUCCACAGUUUAUCACUUUAUGCUUAUUAAACAACACUUUUGUGAAUGAAUGGAGUUUGAUAUUAAUAAGUUCCUUAUAAUUUGGCUAUGAGAAUAUAAGUUUUGGAUGAAGCUAUUAAAAUGGGUUUGUUAAUUCAGUCAAAAACAAAACAAAACACUUCUUACCAAAAGCGCUGUGUUGCUCAAAAAAUACUUACCGAGUACCCACUGUGCCCCAGGCAUUGUUGUGAGCACUGGGAAUGGGGGUCAGUGACCAAGGCAGGUCCCUGCCUUAAAUGAGCUUAUAUUCUAGUGAAGAGAGACAGGAUUAACACUAAAAAUACCAUUAUUUCAAGUUCUAGAAGUUCUCAGAAAAAAUAUGUGUAACAUGGCAGAAAAUAUGUAAUAAAGGAGGUCUUUCUUAGGAAGUUGAAAUUUAAGACCGAUGGAUGAGAAAUAAGUAACUGAAAUCUAGGAUGGGGCCACUCUUAGAAAAAGAACCUGGCUGGCUGUGGUGGCUCAUGCCUGAAAUCCCAGCACUUUGGGAGACUGAGGUGGGUGGAUCACUUGAGGUCAGGAGUUCGAGGCCAGCCUGGCCAACAUGGCAAAACCCUGUCUCUACUGAAAAUGCAAAAUUAGCUGGGCAUGGUAGCACACAUCUGUAAUCCCAGCUACUUGGGAGGCUGAGGUAGGAGAAUCAAUUGAACCUGGAGAGUGGAGGUUGCAUUGAGCCGAGAUCACACCACUAAACUCCAGCCUGGGCGACAGGACAAGACUCUGUCUCAAGAAGAAAAAAAGAAAAAGAACCUGAGACCAGGAUGAACUUGACAUUUUGGGGGCACAGAAAGAGCAAGGUGGUUGGAAAGUAGUAAGGAGUGGAGGAAUGUGAGGAAGAAGAGGCAGCAAGGGCCGGAUCACGUAGAGCUGCUUCGGUCUAAUAAGGAACUCUCUUCUCUGUUUGCAGUGGGUCACUGGGGUUUAUGCUUUAGGGUGGUGAUGUAGGGCUGCGUCAGAUGCAGGGGCCGGGCUGAGGGACGCUGCAGUGGUCCGCGUAAGAGAUGAGGUUGCUCAGAUUAUGGUCGCAGCAGCAGAGAUGGAGAGAUGCGACUGGGUUUGCAGAAUGGGGCUUAUAGUUAGAGUCAACAGGAUUUUUUUAAAAAAAUGCGUUUGAUGGCAGAAGGCAGAUUAGAAACAAAGCUGAAUGAAGGGUCACUCCUACGUUUUCAGUCUGAGUAGCUGUGUGGGUGGUGGUGCCAUUUUCUGAGGCGAGGAAGACUUGGAGUUGAGAAGACAGGAUGGAGGAAGGGGUUUGCUGAGUCUGAGAUACCAAAAAAAUCAUCCAAAUGAAAAUGCUGACUGCUCAGUUGCAUCGAAACAGAGGAGCUUGGUGAAACACUGAGGUCUGAACUAUAUCUGGGUGUCAUCAAGGAAUGGAUGGCAUUUCCAACCCUAGGACUGGCUGAGGACCCUCAGUACAUUGGUGUAAGUAGUGAAGGGAUGAGAUGUGGGUACUGAAUCCUGGGGUACUUCCAUGCUAGUGACCUAUCUGGCAGAGCAAGAUGAAAGUUGGUCGGGGUGUCUCUGAAGGCAACUGAUAGUCAUUUUUUAAGGAGAGAGGGCCCACCAGGUGACACAGUCUGAAGAGGCUGAGAAAGAAGAGGUCAGGCACCAGUCUUGGGACCCAGGCAAGAUGUCCUUAAUCAGUGCAGAUGGGUUGGUGGAGGGGCUCCAAGCUUGACAGAGUGAGGCUGGAAAGGGAGGUGAGAAGUGGAAAGACCAGAAGACAACUCCUUUAAGGCCUUUUCUGUAAGGAGGAGCAGAGAAACAGGGAGAAACAAAGAGCAACAGGGAAUCAAAGGAGAACUUUAAUACUGUUUAUGGGAUGAGUGAUUCUAACACAUGUUUACACAUUGAUAAGGGUGAGGGGUUUGGGGAUGGAGAAAUAGAUAUUUGAAAUUGCAGAAGCAAACUCUUUGAGAGGAAAGGAGAAGCUAGCUUCAAGAACAUGAAUGGAGGGGUUGGCCUUCCAUAGGAAGAACAGAUUAUCCAUUGUAAAAGGAGUAAGAACACACCCACCUGUCACUGGGUAUGGACAGGGAAGGCAGUUGGAUUAUUAUGGGAUUCUGGGCUUCCACAGGCACAAUUGCCUACCCUGUUCCUCUCCCAUGGAACAAUGAGUGUGUGCUCUGUGCCAGGAAUUCUUCUAGGUGCAAAUAUUCAGGUCCUAUGGUCCCAGCAAAUAACACCCAUCCAUAUCUGCACCUCUAGAUGUGAUGUACAAAUGUCUUAGGAGGUAAGUCUAGAAUUUCAGGAAAGACUGAAGAACAGGAAGCACCUAGAUUCCCAGAGAACCACGGGCUGCCUGACUGAUGUGGCUGGUGCCUGGACUUCUAGGUAGGGACACUGACGGCUGGAGGUGGAGAGAUGACACCUACUUCACCAGUCUCCAGUCUCCCACUGGGUCUUACGGGCGCAGCUUAGGGAUAGCAUGCUGGCGCACGCCCGGAGCUUCAUUGAGAUUUUCAGCUUCAUUGAGAUAUAAUUUAUUGCUGCAGGCCAGUAGGUGACAUUCCCAGUGUACCUAAGGGUCCAGUGGUUUGGGGCAAUGAAGAUGGGGUAUCUCACCAGGUGAGGCCAGGCUCUGCUUCUUCUGAGCUACCACUCUCUCUCUACCUGAUUCCCCAUGCCUUUUUCUUGUUAGGCGCUGCGGCUGAGACAGAGAGAGAGUUUAGAGAGAGAAAGAGAGAGAGAGUAAAUUCCAGUUUCUCCUUUUUAGUCUCUUUUCUUAUGCCCUUUGCUCUGCUUGUUCCUCUGCGUCUUUUCUCUUCUUGCCGCUGCAAGAGUGGAAAACUCAUGCUCAGUUUUAGACAAACAUUAACUCCGGGCGAUGUUUCCAAGCGGCAGACAAACUAGAGAGUGAGAAGCGAGAUGCCAGGACACCGAGGGCAAAAAGGGGCUCGGGCGUGUGCGGGGCUGGCCUCCGAGGCGCCACCGCAUCCCUCUGCUCCGAGGCCUGCACGGGGAGCCUGGUGGGGGCGGCAAGAGGACAGACCCCAUGCCCGGGCCUCCCACCAGUGACCACCUCCCCUGCAGCUUGGGUUGAUCCUCCAGACAGCAUGAGAUGAGGGGAAGCGGGGCACCUAGUGGCUGCUCUGAAACGUUGAACACCUGUGGAGGAGGAGCAGUUUCCACCUUCCCCGCCGCCUGGGCAGGUAGCGGUUCUGGGCCUGGACGGGGCUGGACGCGGGGAAGCGGGAAAGAACAGUUCCUGUUUGCAGUGGCCGCCUGGCAGGGCAUCGACGGGAGGGGUUCUACCGCAGUGGUGUUAGGCCGGCUCGGUGGCUCACACCUGUAAUCCCAGCACUUUCGGAGGCCGAGACUGGAGGAUCGCUUGAACUCGGGAGGUAGAGGUUGCAGUGAACUGAGAUCGCCACUGCACUCCAGCCUGGGCGACAGAGCUCUGUCGGAAAAAAACCCCUCAAAACCAAAAAACAGUGGUGUUAGAGGGAUGACAUUAUUGGUGACUAAAGUUUUAUUUUGAACUUUCCUUAAUCUUGCAGGGGCAGCCGCGCCCUGAAAACGCCUGUGAUCUGGAGUGGAGGGUCCAGGCUUAGUGUGGUGAGUGACCCUAGGCAGGUCACUAGCUCCUUCCGAGCCUUCAUUGAAUCCUCUCUUACACGGGGAUGUUACUCUCAGUUCUCCCUGUCCUUCAGGGCAUUAGUUUAUGAAUUAGAUGGUGCAAUAUUAACCAUCCUUUUAUUAGACAGAAACAGUAAGUUUGAGGAAGAGGACGUCUACCUUACAGGGGGUUUAAUUUUCAGCUUCAUUGAGAUAUAAUUUGUUGAAUGGUGUUUUACAUGCGCGCCUUUUCCAACAGCGCCCCAUAGCUAUUCCCAGCACCAGAAGCGGACAACCGCUUUACUGAGAAACAGAGACAGGUACUUCCUGAGGCACCGCAGUCCCGGUCCACUGGGUUUACUACAACUAAAAAUGGCUGUUUCUGUUUACUAGGUAUUAGGCAAUGUGUUUUAAGGAAAUGAAUUGUCUCUAAUCCUCACAACCAUUCAGCAAGCUAGGGGUCACCCGCAUUUUACAAAUCAUGGCACCCCGCUCACCAUAUCUGGAAACUUGCCUCACCCUGGAGGAUUCUAAUUUUCACUUUAGAGAGCUGAGCAAGAUGACCGUCCAGCGCUAGUCCUGGGAAAUCCCCGGGACUGAAGAUCGCAGGCCAGGAGGGCAUCCUGCGCUGCCACCCGGACCUGGCGGGCCGCGAGCUGCAGCAGGGCACGCUCACCGCCGAGUCGCAGCGGGAGCAGAGCGGCGCGGGCCUUACGUGCCUGGGCGCGGACGAGCGGCUCCGGC